UACGUAGGGGGCAAGCGUUGUCCGGAUUUAUUGGGCGUAAAGGGCGCGCAGGCGGCCUCUUAAGUCAGUUGUGAAAGGUCUCGGCUCAACCGAGGAGUUGCAGCUGAAACUGGGAGGCUUGAGUGCAGGAGAGGAGAGUGGAAUUCUCGGUGUAGCGGUGGAAUGCGUAGAGAUCGGGAGGAACACCAGUGGCGAAGGCGACUCUCUGGCCUGUUACUGACGCUGAGGCGCGAAAGCGUGGGGAGCGAACAGG
rnacentral:rRNA from 1 species